UCUUCCCUCCUUCAGCUUAAAACCAUUUCCCCUUGUCCUGCUGUUAUCUACCCUUUCAAAGAGUUGAUGACUUCUGUGCAAAAAUGUGAUAGAACUGAAUGGCUGCAGUGAGUAGAUUUAAUGCUGAGUGCUCCAUCUUGUCCUCAUGUGGCAGACAAGCAAUUUAUCACUAUACAUAAUGUAUUUUACUGAACUGAAAAAAAAAGUACUCCAUAAAAUGAAUCGCAGAACAGCUUGGGUUGGAAGGGACCUCAAAGAUCAUCAAGUUCCAACCACCCGGCUGCAGACAGUGUUGCCAGGCACUAGAUCAAGUACUAGAUCAGAUUGCCCAAGGUCCCAACUAGCCUAGCCUUAAACACCUCUAGGAAUGGGGCAUCAGGCUCUUCUGAAGACAUAUCGCAUUACUGAACCAUGUUUUAAACAUGAUAUCAUUUUGCUCAGCUGUGUGGUAAUAAAGAUUUUUCUUUUUUUUAUAUUAGCAUUACGUUUUCUACAUGAAUACAGCCGAAGAUGUAUUAAAUUGGUGGCUAUUAUUUUCUUCUUCCACUUCUCAGCUAACAAGCAUCUCAUGACCGGUGUAUUUGUGAUCAGGUUGUAAUUCUUCAAGGAAUAACUUUUCUUACCUAUUAAUAGCUAAGACAGGGAAAAAAGAAAAAGCAGUUUCUGUCCAGAAUUGUUGUCUGGCUUCAAGGUCAACCUUACCUCAGACAGACUAAUCUCAAAGGAGAGGCUUAAGUAGGUAAAAUAUGCUGUUUAUGCUUUGCUAGAGAGAUAGGGGAUAUUUUCUGACUUGUAAUGCUGCACUGCUUUUGUCCCAUUUGUCACUAAUACAGCAGAUGCUGUUUCACCAACAUGUACAAUUAUUUUCUCACACCUGAUAGUUCUGGACAAGUAUAACUAAAGGUUUUAUGAAGGGUGAGUAAUAAGCCUGUAUGAUGGUGAGAACUGACUUCCCCACUAUUUCAAGGUCCUAAAAGGAAAAGGAGAUAUCACUACAGUAAGACCCCCCAUCUGCCACAGGUUUUCAAUAUCUCUGUAAUUUAUUUGUAAUGUUACAGAUAGUAUCUGGAACAGCUGUAGUUAACUGAAGAUACCCACUUUACAUCAUUGGUAGCUAACAAACUAUGACAUCCAUAUUAAUAUAAAUUCAGGUUCUAACUACAGAUGUUUCAUCAUGUAAUGCUUGCAAGCUAAUUAAUUUUUUCUGGGUUGGAUCUGGUUUACCUAUAAGCACAUUUCCCAGAGGAAAGAUGGGUUGCUGUGCUGCAGAGAUGCCCAACUCAUAAGAACAGAUGAGCCAUAAAAAACUUCAGUUUCAGAUUUUUAUUCCUCAUCCCAAUUGAUUCAUUUUUCCAACAUGUUCUGACUCUUUCCUCAUAUGCUACCUAGACAACACUCAGCACAUUCCCGAAAUGGCCUGAUAUUCCCAUGAGAUGGUCAGAGGCACAGGUGGCCAGGCUUCUUCAGUUCUGCUCUGUAACCCAUUUGCUGCUGCUUGGCUAUCUGCUGGGCUAACCUCCUGUGCCAUCCUCCAACUGCUCCCAGGCCAAAACAAAACACAACUCUGGAGCUUCUGCUGAUGGGUCCUUUCCUAAGCCUUAGCAUCUCUGGUAGUGUGCCAGAAAGCUGUCAGGCACAGCAAGGUGAAAGGACAGAGGAAAAAGGAUGCUGCGAUGGUGCCUGCAGCAAGGCUCACUGCAGGGCUGCCUGCCACAGCCACGACCCUGCAGGCCGCUGAGUGGGUUGAUGCACAGCUGUGUAAAUAUCAGAGAAAGAAUUAUGUUGUUUUCUUUCUUGACGUUCCUGUUCUCUUGUGUAAGAAAAAGCACACAUAGGAAACAUGGUUUAGAGAACUCACUGUAACGCUUGCUAAGCCAAGACCUGUAGUAGUACAGAGGUCAGUCAGUACCAUCAGAAACUUCGUGCUAUAAAUGACUUCCAAAUUUUGUGCAAAUGAAAAGGAGAUGCAGCCUUCUGUGGGGUAAUUUUGUACAUCGUAAUGCAAAGGGGAAAUCAAGGGGAAGGCUCAGCAGCUGGGAGAACACAAAUAGCACAUUCAGUGCUCUUGCAGCUGUUAAGCAGGGAAGGCUAUGCUGUAUUUUGCUUUUAAACGGGAACUGUGCCAGAUACAACCUUUUACAUUUUGAAAACUGUAGCCUUACUUCAGGGGGACUGGCAAAGGCAGUGCCAAGCAGAAGGUUUUUCUGACAGCUGGUUAGAAGCUCUCACUCCCUGCAGCCAGGCACCACAGCUCUUGUGAGCACUAAAAGCAAGCAGCCCCAAAAACACCUGGAGCCAAACCAAGGCCACAUCAGAAAACAGCAGGUUUUAGUUUUGCUUUUGUUUACUCGAAAUACACAUUCCUUCCUGCUUUUGGGAGACGCUGGUAGCGUCUGGCUGCCUGCCCAAAUCUGAUUCUUGUUUGGUAGCAGCUCAGUCAGCCUGAAGCAAAACUAAACAGAACAGUAAUGUAUGCUGUCAAAAACUGGCAAAAUUAUAAACCCAUUAUCUGGAACUUCUACUUAGCGGUGCCCAACGUCUAAUGUGGAAUGAAACUUUUUAAUCUUCUAUUUUUCUCUCACUAGUAUUCAGCUCAGUCCUCUCUUUUGAAAGGAGCUUGUGGAGUGAUUCUGGAGAACAGAAAAGGAGAAGCCUCAGGAAGGAGCUCUGUCUCCCAGCAGCUUUGGUGACAGCUAUCACUGAGUGGAGAAACCCAAUUUUUCUCCUACUCUUGUUAACCAGGGGUGAAGUACGCGGCUGGGAUGUGAUGAGCUCUCCCAAGCUCGUAGCUGUGAAAAUUGAGCAAUGCAGUGACCUCUCUCUGUGGGACUUGUUUGCUUGUAAUUAGAUCAGAGAAAGCCCCGUAUAAACAGAUUAGGACGGCACCAGUUGAGUUUAGAAGUGUUUCAUUAAUUCGGUGUUCCAUGGUCAUUUUGAUGUCAGUCUGUUCUGGGAAUCGCCCAGAAUACGGAGCAUCGUGUGAAAGAUGGAUGCUUUCAGGAGCUCCCGAGGAGCCCCGCAGUGCAUCCACGUUCUGAAAUAUUUUCAGGGGGAGCCUCGUUCCAGGAAAGGCUGCAAACAAAGUGGGCAGAGCAAGCGCCGUCUGCUCGAGGUGCCGCGCACGGGCAGAAACAUACAGACAGGCAGAACUAUGGCUGAAGGUUGGCGCAGCCCUUUCGCUGUAUGAUUUUACAUUACACAGAAUGAGCUACCCAUUCCUGAAGAAGCCUCUGCAUUUCCCUUCUGCUAACGAGAGAUGUGGCAUGUGAAUUACAAAGUCACCAUUCUCCUGGUAUCAAAUUGAUCUCUGCUUUUGAAAGCAUUGCUUUACAAAUACAGCUCUUAACAUACAGCUAGAGUGCAUGGAGUGAAACAAUACCAGCAGUUAGCAAAGUCGUUCGAAGCACUCUACUGAAAGCCUUAUCCACUCUAGGGCAGCUUCCUAUUGAAAUCUUGAAGGUUAAUGUGAGUAAUCUCACUCCAGGAGUCCCUAGCCAUCACAAACAGGCUACUUUAUGAAUCUUUGGUGCGCAUUCCAACGGCUACACUGGAAAUGGGUUUAUUGAGAUAAGUUUGCUCUGAACUUCUUUGAGAUUAGGUCUCCUCCAGACCAGGCAUGGAUGCAUAUGUAUCCUGAAAUAAAAUGUACCCAGCUCAGUCAUCCUUCUGAAGAGUCACCUUGCUUUCCUGGCUAUCAAACCUGCAUCUUUUUUAUCUAUAUUCAGGUGUAUCCUGAUGAAAUGCCACCUCACCAUCUAAUUGCUACAACUACUUGUUGCAAAGCAAGAAGAGAAGUUUUUUAUGUUGUCCAGUUGUCUGCCAGUGAAUGAAUACCCGCUUUAGCACGAACAUGAAACAACCACAUCUAAGUAAGGAAUGCUGUCACGCCACAGAACUACAAAGGCUCUCUGUGGGCUGAUGGAGCAGUACCAUCACCACAGGGUGUGAGAGAAGGGGUUCUGCAGUUCUGCUAGGAAGGGGGAGCUCUUUCAGUGCUAGUUCAAUCACCGUUCAGUGUCUGUAGCGGUAUGGACUCUUCUGACCGAUGUUUUGUUCACCUUAUGAAACUAGUAAACUAAAUCUGCAGACGUCCUGAAACAUCCUGAAUCACAGACAGAAAAUCAACCUGAACUCCAGCUGAGACCCAAACCAAGAAGAUGGCAAAUUAUGGACUGCUAAUAGUGAGCUUGUGAGCUUGCACACACUGCAUUGCUUUCUUUGUCAACAAGCAAACUAUCAUGUCCAGACAGUGGUUAUUCCAGUCUUGCCCUUUUUCCUUCAAAAUGGUGUCUGUUUGAUUUGAAAGACUCUCUUAUAGCAAAAAAGACACAGAAAAGGCAGGCUUUCUACAUCUAGAGUCAGCAUAAAUGCAAAAAUGACAGGAGGGGAGAGUACAAAAUAAAUUCACUGAUGAAUCCCAGACAGUCAUGGACAAACUUGCACCAAGUUUUCCCUUUGCCUAGUUGGCAAAGUAGCCUGUGAUACAGUGCUUUGUGCCCCGGGCAUCUUGAGCUUUACACAGGAAGCAGGGUGUAUUGGAGAGGCAGUCUUCCUGAAGCACAUUGCCUUUUAAUCUUUAAAUUUGCAUACCAUAAUGAACAUGCAGUAAAGUAUUAUUAUUAAUAAUAAUGAUUGUUAUUGUGUUUCCAGUGGUCUAUUAAUGUUCUGAUCAAAAGAAAGAUCUGAAAGGGAAGAGAAUGUAUAUAGAACUUCUUCAACUGCCCCAACAUUCAUACAGCCUCGUUAUCAUAUAGUUGCACUUUCACUUGAGUGAUCCUUUCCCAAAUUUCUUCUGGCAAAGGUUUAUAUUUCUGAAGUCUCUUAGAAUUUGCAUCUUUCAUUUUUAUAUUUAUGGCUGAUCACAUGGUUUACUUACUGCAUCCUACACGUACUUGGAUCUUCACAAAAAACAUAACUAAUCAUCUUGCUCUCUCUUAGCCAAAAUCUGCCAGGAUUGUCUAAGUGCAUUAUCAAUAUGAUGUCAUCAGGUUAGUGGAUGUUAAGGAUGUGAUACAAAUAUUUAUUCAUUGAUGUUCUUAAUGGGUCCGUUUGGGACCUCUUCCUUCCAUCUGUCCUCGGGGUUUGUCCCUUGCCACUAAAACAUGGAAAGUACCUAUUUUGCCUUUGCCUGAAUGUCAUUUGUAGCAAUUUCUCAUUCUGCAGCUGCUCACAGCACAUCUCACAGUUCCUUUUAUUCAGAUGUUUGCUAAGAAAGGGCCUGGGAAAUAGGGACUGAACCUCACCUCCCAGAAUUAAGGAACCAUGACUGGUGAGGAAAAACAAACCAGGAAAUACUUCUGUGCUGUAGCAGAACAUGCAGAUGUCCCUGAAGAUCUACAGGUUUCUGCAAAAAUUAUUUCUUCUUCAACAGCAAUCUAGCGCAGAAUAAAACCAUUUUUCUGUUGGAGAUGUAUGAGGCCACAUGUGAGGGGAUAAGCACGGUACCCAGGCCUUUCAGCUACAACUGCAGGGAAAUGAGCCGGCCAAGAAAACAGCUGGGUGUUCCUGGGAGGCCUUCUGUAACCAAAGGGACUCAGUUCUGUUUUGCAGCCUGGAUGAUCAAUCUGCUCGUGCCAACUUGGGUGACAAGGCCCUGGUAUGUGACAGUCACAGACUUCUCCUGAGUCACAGGGAAAGCUCUUGUGUAUGUUUUCCACCCUCAAAGCUACAGUGAGAAAUGAAGAAAGCAGGAUUUGGGCAUUCUGGAGAUCGUGAUCUUUUACGUACAUCUCAGAAUUUCUCCACUUGCCUCCUUUGGUGUCUCUCUCCCAUCACUUGCAUAUUCUUUGUCUCUUUGUCCCCUAUAUUUUGAUAGUAUUUUCAUAGUCUGUUUGAAAUAUAUGUCCUCUCAACCUUUAAAAAAGUAGUUUCAUACCAAGAGCUUGUAAGCUGAUUUACUCUUAUGCAAGACUAACUCUUGCAUGUCUUCAUUUCUCUAUAGUUACAUCUGAAAAUGUUUCUACAAUUGAAUUAACUCAGAAGUACAAUGCAGGAGCGUUUAUUCUUUUUUACUGUUUAAAAGUCCAUAUAUUUGAUAUCCUGCCUUUAUUUUAUUUUUUUAUUUUUUACUGUAGAGUCAUCAUAGCUCCUUUCUGAAAGUCACCUGGUGCUAGCUGCCAGUAUGUUGCAUGUUUUAGUCCAGGGAGGUCUCUGAUGAGCCCAGCUGCGCUAGAGAAACUUGAACAAGAUGGGUAGUCGUUGAAGGGGACUUGGUUUUGUUCCAGAAUAAGUUUUUGGUUCUGACUAAAUAUGAAACAGGAAAAUGAAGGGGAAUUCCCACCCUUGCCACUCUACAAAUUGAAAUCUUUUUCUAAAGGACAAGAUAACAUCCACAAUGUUUAUCAGCAAGGCAAGGUUUGCAGGGAAAGAAGAUAUACAAAUCCAGCUGGUAUAUGCAUUUUUGAAGGGUGUCAUUAAGGUUGUUUUUCAGCUGUCUCCCCUGGCUACACUAGCUGAUCUAACAGACAGCGCUCUAUUUACAAAGCUUGCCUCACUCAGACUUAGAACAUGCAGGCUUUUCAAGUUUUGUCCGGAAUAGUUUGUGAGUGAUUCUGCCAUCUGGUGGAGAAAGGUUGUUCUUUUUUUUUUUCUUCAUUUUAAACACGCAAAGAAAGGCUCUUGGAAAUAAAUGCAGAAAACUUUCACAAAUCCGCUGAUGCCACUGGAAAAGCAGGACACAAAAUGAACUCUGACUGCAAAAGAAAAACUCACGGCGAAUAUCUGUUCUAUGCUUUGUUUUAUUCUAUCAAAGGCUUAAUUUCUCAAUUCUCUCUUGCCUUCCAGAGCAAGCAUGCCCACGGACGUUUUGGUAUUCUUUCACUCAGCUGGUUUCACAGAGUCUGUCUCAACACCCAGAUUCGAUCAGCCAUCUCAUUAUUUUUAUCUAUGGUAGCUUUGAUUCUGUGAACUUUUCUUGGCAGCUCCUUCUGCCUUUCUUCUGUAUCUAGAGAGAUAUGCAGGCACUGGAUUUUGACUUUUGAUCCAUCUUACUUAUCUUAAAAUCAUGUCAUCCAGAACAAGCCAAGGCCAGAGAUGACACAGCAUGGUAGAACAUUUUGAGAGAAAUGGACCAUGGUAGUGUUACUCAUGAGGGAAAAAUUCCAAACCUGCCUCUGGAUCUGAGAGAGAUUCCUACAUCAUGACCGACUUGGUUGUCCGAAGAUAAGCCACAGUUUCCUUGCGUAGACAAAAUAAGCCUCACACAAACACAUUCAGAAAUGCAGUGCAAUAACUUACGUGUGAGUGCUUUCUACACCAACAGACAGUAUGUAGAAGAUUCAUGAGAAUAUUUGUUUUUCUCCAAUUUCUGCUGAAGAAGAACUGGUAGAAUACAGACCAUCCUUUUUUGGCAGAUACUUUGCCUUUCCUGCUCUUUAACUCUUGCAGUGCAGGAGAUGCCACUAUAUCUAGAUAGGGCAAGUAGAGCUGCAGAGAACUACUGACUUGGGCCUGUUGUCCCUGAUGCCUUAUUAGCCACACUAUCUGCAUACCAGCUCUGCUCAUCAUAUUAUUUUUCAGUUAGAUCAGAUCCCUGAGGUAGUCCUGAGUAGUUCCACAGCGGCUGGGCCAGGUCACAACUGGGAUGGUGGCAGACAGGUGGGCAGGGAAAUGGCAGGAUCUGUUUCAGCUAGCUUAGGCAGUAGUACUAUGCUGCCAAUAUGCAGACAGCUCGAUUGACUUCAAAGCAUACCACUGCAAAAGGGAGCUGCCCUAUUCCCUUUCUCCUCUCCUCACUGCUGGCUGUUGGAUUGACUCAGCUAUCUCUCAUAGUUAAGUGAUGCACUGAAAACAUGUCCUGAGCUCAUUUAACACUCCACACAAUGGUCUUGCCAGGAGCUGUGAAUUCCCAGCCAAGUUUUUCUUGGAGCUGGCUUUGGCUCAUUUGACUGCAGAGCUAUCUGAUUCAACAGCAGGGUGUUUACUUUUAUUUGCUGCAGGUAUGUCAGCUUGCUUUACCAUGCAGUCAGAUAGGCAUGAGACAUCACAGGGAACACACAGCUAGAAGCAGAGACCAGGAGAUGGAAAUGGGGCCCAGGAAUAAUCCCUUCUAAAGGCAGAGAGCCAUUUAGUGGUCUUUCCCUUAUCAUCUCACCGCACCCUGGGUGUCCUGCCACUACCUGUGGUAACAGUCACUUGGGCUGAUAAUUCCUGCGGUGUCUCAUGUGAUAGAACCAAAUUCCCAGAAGUUGCCCUCAAGUGCUGCAUAAGGAGAAAAGUACAUGCUGCCCUACCCACCUUUUCCUGUGUUUCAAGGGAGCUGAAAGCUUUCUUUGCAAGGAAUGUUGGGUUGAUUAUACCUGCAAAGAUGGGAAUUUGCAGACUGUUCUGUUUUAUAGCUCGCUUACUCUGUACUUCAAGCUAAACCUGUUCUCUUCUGUGAGAGCUGCUUUGGCAGUGCACAUCCUGACAUCCAGAGAGCAAGUCUCAGCUGUGUGUUUUGCAUUUCACUUGCGCAGCUGCGUAAGAAAAUUUUUUUACUGAUAGCAAAUGCAUACAUUUUACUGCAGCUACUUAAUAAGAGCGAGAAGGGAGGAUCUCUCAUCACACAGCUAAUCUUUGCAUCACCUUCAAAGCUUUCUCCCCACACAGUUCCAAAAUUAUGAUCUUGAUAUUUCUUUGCCUAGUAGCAGGCAAGAUUUGCUGUUGUUAAUAUAGCUUUGAUCAAGCAGCUCGAGCAAGUAAAGCUGUUACAGUUCCAGACACCACUUCCCUCUGCUGAUUCCUUUCUUAGCAAAGCUUACCACCCCCACAGCACACUACAGGGCGGGAUCACUGCCCACAUCCCAGCGGGCUCAGAUCAGUCUGGCAUGCUAAGCACUUGCUCAAGUGGCUGCAUCCAGAUGAAACUAUGGCACUGGCACACAUUCCUCUGUGCUGACAUAGAUGGGAAAGGACAAUGGUCUCUAGGAGAGGAGAAGCCACAAGCAGCUGGGGAGCAGUAGUUACACAUCGCUGUCCACUUGGUCCAUGCAGCCAUAUAACUAUUUUAAAGAAGACCAAAACUAUAGCUCCAAUAAAACUAAGAAAACUU